rnacentral:rRNA from 1 species
AGCGAACGCUGGCGGCAGGCCUAACACAUGCAAGUCGAACGAACCGCUCGGGGUUAGUGGCGGACGGGAGAGAAACACGGGGGAACGUGCCUUUAGGUUCGGAAAAACUCAGGGAAACGAGUGCUAAUCCCGAAUGCGCCCUCCGGGGGAAAGCUUUACCGCCCUUAGAGGCGCCCGCGUGUGACUAGCUAGUUUGAUGAGGUAAUGGCCCACCAAGGCGACGAUCAGUAGCUGGUCUGAGAGGAUGAUCCGCCACACUGGGACUGAGACACGGCCCAGAUUCCUACGGGCGGCAGCAGGGGGGAAUAUUGGACAAUGUGCGAAAGCCUUAGCCAGCCAUGCCGCGGGAGUGAUGAAGGCCUUAGGGUUGUAAAGCUCUUUUGUCCGGGAAGAUAAUGACUGUACCGGAAGAAUAAGCCCCGGCUAACUUCGUG